rnacentral:rRNA from 1 species
UACGGGGGGGGGGCAAGCGUUUGUUCGGAAUUACUGGGCGUAAAGGGUGCGUAGGCGGGUCUUUAAGUCAGGGGUGAAAUCCUGGAGCUCAACUCCAGAACUGCCUUUGAUACUGAGGAUCUUGAGUUCGGGAGAGGUGAGUGGAACUGCGAGUGUAGAGGUGAAAUUCGUAGAUAUUCGCAAGAACACCCGUGGCGAAGGCGGCUCUCUGGGACGGUACUGACGCUGAGACGGCGAAAGCGGUGGGGAGCGAACAGG